CCUACGGUGAGCAGCAGUGAGGAAUAUUGGUCAAUGGCCGAGAGGCUGAACCAGCCAAGUCGCGUGAGGGAAGACGGCCCUACGGGUUGUAAACCUCUUUUGUCGGGGAGCAAAGCGAGUCACGUGUGACUCAUUGAGAGUACCCGAAGAAAAAGCAUCGGCUAACUCCGUGCCAGCAGCCGCGGUAAUACGGAGGAUGCGAGCGUUAUCCGGAUUUAUUGGGUUUAAAGGGUGCGCAGGCGGAGGUGCAAGUCAGCGGUCAAAUUGCGGGGCUCAACCCCGUACUGCCGUUGAAACUGCAUCCCUUGAGUGCGCGAGAAGUAUGCGGAAUGCGUGGUGUAGCGGUGAAAUGCAUAGAUAUAUGGAAGAACACCAGUGGCGAAGGCGGCCGCCUGGCCUGUUGCUGACGCUGAGGCACGAAAGCGUGGGGAGCAAAUAGGAUUAGAUACCCGAGUAGUC
rnacentral:rRNA from 1 species